AUACAAGAGAAUGUUAAAGUUUCUGUUUAGUUACAGAGACUAGAGGCAUAGAGAAGCAAAGAGUUUUUAAUUUAAAGAAUGUGGAAAAUGCAGAAAGGAGGGGGGAAGCAGAAUGAUGUUUAAAGAUGAAUUUAUGAUGGCAGUUAAAUAAGAAAGUAAAUUGAAAAUAGGAUGGACAUUUAUAAAACAUAAAUUGUAAAAAGGAUAACAUGAGGCUGGUCCUCAGUUCUUAAUUACAGGGGCAAAUGGGAGAGGAGAGCUAAAAUGUUGCAACAUUAAUUAGGAGAAAGCAGAUGCGUUUUUGAGGUAAUCAAAGUAUGUUUUGAGUAAGUUAAAGUAACAGGAUGGAAAGGGGGCUGAGUUAGUCAGUUUCCUUAAU